GUAGCAUAAUCAUUAGGGAUUUAAUUGGAACCUGGAAUGAAGGGUUGGACAAAGGAAGAGCUGUCUUUGUAGUAUAAGUUGAAGUUUACUUUUAAGUGAAAAGGCUUAAAUGAAUCAAAGGGACGAUAAGACCCUAUAAAGCUUUAUAGAUAAGUUAAAUUUAGUUGAUUUAAAAGAUAAAAAUUAAGUUUGAUUAUUUUAUUUCAUUGGGGUGAUGUGAGUAUAAUUAAUAUUAACUGUUUACGAGAAAUACUAUUAUAGUAGGAUAAUAAGCUUAUGAUCCUUUUUAAAGAUUAAAAAACUAAGUUACUUUAGGGAUAACAGCGUUAUUUCUUUUGAGAGUUCAUAUCGAAAAAGGAGAUUGCGACCUCGAUGUUGAAUUAAAAUAUCUAUAUAAUGCAGUCGUUAUAAAAGAGGGUCUGUUCGACCUUUAAAUUUUUACAUGAUUUGAG
rnacentral:rRNA from 1 species